AUUGGAUUUAGUUCAGCCCGGUCAAAGCGGCGUGCAGUUCUAGCUAUCUCUCUUCUAUCCGCGUGUCGCUUGGCCGUUCCUCCUCUUUCUCGCUCCUCGCCCCUUCUCCUUCUCCAAGUGCAGCAGGUCGCCGGGCGGUCGAUGACACGACGGCGUCGACUGGAUCAGGGCUCGAUGAAUCGUGGCUGAUCUACCCUUCAAUUUGAAGGCCAACAACUCGAUCCUUGAUCUCGCCUCUGAUCCGUUUCGGCUGGACCGCUUGGGAGAUUAAAAUCGUGUCCGGCGUGUCCUCCUGCUGCCUACCGGCAUACCUAGGCCCUUUCCAUUGGUCCGCCUUGCGUCUGCUGCAGCGGGGCUGGACACAGCGACGUGUCCACUGGCAGCUUCAGCCUUCAUGAGACCGAAUUUUUUCGUCACCAGCCGGGCCUUACCUCAUCAGUUUGAUAGUUCCAACCGCUAUUGUUCUGGAAGCCGUAUUCAGUCGACUUCAGGUUUUAGACUCUCAAGAUCACGGUCCACUUCACAGCAUCGGUAAGUGAUCAAGCUUCUCAAGUAGUGCUGCCUGAUUCCUCUUCCAUCCUUUUUAUCUGUGUCUCUUUUUCAACUUUUUUCUUCAUUGGAAGAACCAGCCUGCACUGGUGCUGCUGGGAACCUGAAGUGCCGGGUGGUAUUACCAGUCAGAUGCACCACUGCCUCCUUAAUUGUCUCCCUUUCUCCCCUUUCUUGUGUCAUUUGUGUGGCCAGCAAGAUCUCCUGGUUUUUUUUUACCUUUUUACUCUCUUAUUUGGUUUGGUGUUUCGUUAACUGAAGUCUCAUUUUCUCUUCUUAACUAAAAACAUGCUUUGCCAAUAAAAAGAAUGGAUGCAAUGAAAGAGCUGGUGCUACCAAUGAAGUCCAACUUCCUUCCAUGACAUAAUGAUCUCAUCAAUCAUGAUGAAUUUAGUUACUUCCUCUACAGGCAUAAAAUAAAUUGGCAGGUUUGAUGUCCAUUCAAAUAUUCAAUACUAAUUGCACGACCGAUAAGCUACAGGAGAUUUCAAAAUAUCGUUCUGCAUAUGUUCCUUACAUUUUUUUUCCGUUGUGAUAUGAUGCACUCUAGGUCUACCACAAUGCAGACUAUUUUCCAUUGUCAUAUCGUGGAUGAGCUAUCAUUUCCUAUUGAAAUACCUUCACAGCAAAAACUGCGGAAUGAUUCCUACUCUUAUUCGAAAAGAUGCAUGACGUCCAAUGCCAUUAAAGUUGUACGCUGCAUUCUAUUUUCACCGCCAUACUCAUAUUAAAAUUGCUGGCCUUUAGAAAAUUUGUUUAUUACCAAGACAGUAUUUAGCAAAGAAAGUAAGAGAUGUAUUUUAUUUUAAUCAUUGUUAUCAUCUGCACUUAAAGCAUCGAUCGUUGCAGCAUCAAGAAAUGGUAUAGGUAAUAGUUGGGUGGACCAUAAGUCGACAGCAAUCUACAUAUGCAGCUACGGAGCUAAGACUCUAAAAAUAACGAGCUAAUCCCUUACUUUGCAGGUAUAUUGAAAACCAAGGUGUAAAUGUAUUGGCUGGUAUUGAUGUUGCUUUCCAUAAUGUAUUUUAUUUUAAUCAUUGUUAUCAUCUGCACUUAAAGCAUCGACCGUUGCAGCAUCAAGAAAUGGUAUAGGUAUAUUGAAAACCAAGGUGUAAAUGUAUUGGCUGGUAUUGAUAUUCCAUUUUGCUCAGUGAUGUAUAUUAAAGAUAGGCAAAACUUAAUCCCAGGCACACUUCAGUUGGUUGGCAUUUGCCUACUGAAAAUGGAGUUUGGAUGACAUGUUCACCAUCUCAUAACAUGUGUUAAUUUCAGAGAUGGAGUUAGCGAAAGAAUGUUUCUCGGGGCUAGAACGUCAAGCUUGAACAAAGCCGGCAAGGUUUAACAAAUCAGUAAGGCAGUGUAUUUAUUUUAUUUCGCCAUGUUCUAUUAUUUAUACAAUAGAGGUGGCUAUACAGUAAUGCAGGUAGAGUUCCUCGACGAGAAGUGGGAGCCUAAGCUAUCACUCAUUGUUUCCCAGAAAAACAAUCAUGCCAGAUUCCUUGAGACUCGACCUUCAGAGAAUAUUCCUUCCAGUAAAUUUCAUUUUGACCUAUGGGCAGUGCAGUCUAAGUCUUUUUUUUAUGGAGUGGACCAUCCCAACAAUUUCAAUUUCAUACAUGUGUGCAUACGCUCGCUUGAUUGCAAGUAAUCUUUGCUCUGUUUUCUGUUCAUCAAGUACGAGUUCAUUGGGGCUUAUUGUGAUUGUCCGUGCCAGGGAACACCAAGGUAAACAUAUUACCAUCUUUUGCAUGACGAGAUUAAUGUUCUGUUCUCUUCUCAAAUAGCUUCUAAGCUUCUUGGUUCAUAUGUUAAAACCUGUAUGGGCAUUCGACAUGAAUUCUUCCAGGAGUCAUGUAAAUAUGUCGAUUACAAAUAUGCUUGCUGAAACAAGAGGUUCUAGGUCUCUAAUGGCAUCAAAGAGUAACAUCAGGUUGAUAAGACUGCUGUUACGAUUUGCAGACCAUCAUAUUCUGUACAUACCUAUCCUCUUCAUCUCAGAAUUUCUAUGUAUUAGUUGGUGUCUUUUGUAUGCAAAAUUCUGCGCUACUCUUUUUUCUGUAGUAUCACUUUUUGAAUUGUUCCUGGGUGCUAUUAGAUGACAUGGAAUUUUUUUCUCAAAUUUCACUGACCACUUCAACAGUUGUUUUCCCCUUUUCUUGAUAGGAUCGAUAACCUUUUAGAUUGGUGCAGCUAUUUUUUCUUUGUUUUCCUUUAUAGUUUACCUGAUUCUACUAUUCAAAGAGAUGGGAUUCCAUGUCAACCAAGCUUAAACAAUUGAUUUAUGUUUAUUUUUCACCUCUAUUUCUGAUUUUUCAUCUAGCGGUAAAUUUGUUGGUUGAUGAUAUACAAAAAGAGGGCAUGCUCUUGCUUCUUCGGUUUCCAAUGUAUUAUCCAACAUUUUAAAUUUUGUGAAGACCCCCAUCACACACUACUACUGUUUAUUGCAUAUACCAGAGGCAUUCUACCCUAUUGGCAUAUUAGUUUUGUACCCUGCAAUUUAUUUGGUUACAUUAAACUACAGCUUUAGGUUUGAGAUUUUUGUAGCAACUCAUUUUCUUUCACACAAGGGCCUACCAAAACCUGAAACUAAAUGGAACAAGCAUAAGCCUACCUUUUUAAAGUAGCAUUUUUAUUAGGAUAUAUGUCAGAAAAAACAAUGCAUAAAGAAUUGUGGUUCAUGAAAAUGCAGAUAUUUUUUCUAACCUUGGGAAAAGAUAUAUAAAGAUAAUACACCUGAAAGGCUAUUAUGUAAUACUGCUAUAACGGAAAAGGAUAAUUGUUUAUUGACAUAUACAGAAACAUAUAUGGUACAGUAAAGGUUUUGAGCUUUGAUACACACCUGAAGGUGUGGGUGGCAUAUAGAUGUUUAUUUUGAUGAGUUAGCAUGCUGUCAUUUCUAGGCUGGCGAUUAUCUGGGUUUUUGUGGAGACGGUUGAACCAGAUGUGCCAAUAUUAAAACCGUUCCAUGUGAUGGUGCUAUUAUUUUAUACUUGAUUAUCUUCUCAGAGCUAUACAAGGCAAAUCGCAUGCUUUUAAGGUGCCAAAUGAGCUUAGGUAUAGAGAGUUGGGACAUCUACUUUUUCCUAAUUACCGGUUUUUAAUUAUAUACUUUUACUAUCUUUCACCAGUUGCAAUCUUGCAGGAUUCAAUGGACAUUGGAUGGAAAUUGAGCAAUAUCAUGUGGACAAGUUCUAUAUAUGGUGACUUAUCGAAGUGAAUCAAGAAAUACUGUUCUGAUUAGGUUCAAUUGUUGGGUUUUCGUUUUGUUUUUUUCUAGAGUAUAUUUUGUCAUUGUUUCAUCUAACAGGUGUCAUUCAACUGGAUAAAGAUACCAACAGAUGGACAGUUCUAUAUUCCUAUCUCAGGACUAACAUCAACGAAAGCUGUGAAAAUACUUUUUUUUGCGAAUGAAGGUGUGAAAAUACUUGCAAUAGAUGAGGGCGGUGUACCCGUACCAUCUACUCGGUGGAGAAUGGCGAGGCGGGAGGCAGCAAUGGCGCAUGGGAUGGGCUGAAGCUGGCCGUCAGACUACCUCGAUCUGCUCCGGCUCUCCAUCUUCCACCGUGCCAUUCCUCUUCAUUCUACAACAAGAUGGUGUUCUCUGGCCAGGCUGUUCGCUUUACAGGUGUGACCUUCACUGGUAGACUUACGGAUUCACUGCUUACGGAAACACCUACGGACUGAUGUGGAAGAAAUCGGUUGGCUCAGUUUGCUUUCCUUGCUUAAAAAUCGGAAAAAACCACCCUGCCUGCUGUGUACAUGAUGAGUCUGAGUCCAACGUCAAUAAUCUCUGGAUAAAGAGAAUGGAGAGUUCAGACGGAAAGACAAGAAUCAAGCUUUAUAGGUAUGAUUGACAAGCAUAAAAUCCAGUAAAAUGAAGAGUUUAGAUGGAGAGAAAAGAAUCAAGCUCUAUAGUGAGGAGAAGCAGCACAUCAUCAGAAACAAAGGCAACAAGCCAAAAACACAUGCUCAUGUUUCUCUUCCUCGCUAAAAGAACCGGUUGAUGAUGCGGCCAUGCAUGUGGAGAGGCAACAGAGGCUCCACCAUCGUUGUGGCCGCCUUUGCCGAGAAGCGACAGGACGGGUGGGGGCGCCGCUACCAUCGCCAAAGAUGUCGCGGUGGCGCAUUUAGCUCUGCUUCUGACUCUUUGGCUUCAUGGCUCGGCUGAUGUGAGGCCCCAUUCCCCGAGCAACGGCUGCAGGGCGGACAAGGUCAGAAAGACAUGGCAGUGGUCACGAAUAGAAGGUGCAGACCAUGGGGAGCAUCGUAAUGUUCUUGCAUGCGUCGAUUCAUGGCUCCGGCGGUCGGAAUUGAGGAGCAGAAGCAACGGCGGUAGCGUCACGGGAGAACAAGGAAAAGGAGAUCUGAUGUGGGUGCUAGAGUGUUCUGGAUGCAUGCGUGUGUGGAGUCAAAAUGACAGAUUAGGACUGUCGUACCUGCGCGUAUGAUGCAUACAUUGUUGUAUGCUUUUUGUUUCUUUAAUUAGUUAAUAAUGUAAUAAAAUCAAAACUAUAAUUCAAACAAAGGGGUAAUGAGUUACUUACAGAAAUAUGAGAAAACUACCCCGAUGAAUUUUUAUAGACAUUAUUUCCAACAAA